UGACAGAAUCAGAAUCAGGCACAAGUGCACAACUCUGUCAUCUGACGAUGACAGAGUUUAGAAUGUAGUGUCCGUGUUCUAGAAGACUCCGUGUGGCAAUGCUGCCCUUUUGCAGUGGAACUGUUUCUAGGGGAAAAUAACGUGUUACCAGGCAGCUAUAGGGCAGAAAGCAACUAGCUCCUAAUCUGAGCUCCCAUUGGCUAGUAGUUUGGAAUGAUACUUUAUGCGGUGUUGUUACAACCUUUAGGAAUAUGUUACCUAGGAAACACAUGCACAAAUACAUAUGCUUAUCAAUACAUGCACAUAGAUUGUGAGAUCAAAUAAGGGAAUUAUUGCUCAUUAAGGACAUAUAUUACUGGAUGUAGGGUAUAUUAUUAUAGUACUGUGACUUAACACAAUUUGUAUUAUCUGUAGUGCGAGGCCAUGAGAAGGUGCCAACGAAGCAUUUCAAGGCACGUCUGUUUUUUUCAUAUCAGUGAUGACCCUACGUGGACAUGGUCUUAGGGCGUCCAUUUUGGUUUAGUUUGUAAUUUAGGGGAUCUAGCUAUAAUGUGAUGAGUACUGGAAGCAAUACACGUAGUAGCAUGUCGUCUUGUCUUGUCUUUCUCUUCUGUCUGUCGUAGAAGCUUUGGAUUUUACCUAUAGAUGUUCAGUAGGUUUACAUAACUAACUAAUUUUUUAUUUGUGAAAAUGCUGCUAUUUAAUAAGUGAUGUACUCAAAAAAAGAAAAGGUAAAACAUAUCGGAUCUUUCAGUUAGCGGGACAUUCUAUUUCAGAGAGCUGUAAUAAACGCUCUUGUGGUAAUAAGAUGAUAAUAAUUGUAUAAGAACAAAGUGUAAGAACCAACCUAAACAAAUAAACUUGUGCCAAAAUAGAGCUUUACAGAAACUGAAACUGUAAAAUUGUGGGAUUUAAACACCCUUAGAUGAGAAGAAGCAUACUUUUAUACAAAAAAAUGUGAAAGUGCCAAACAAACCAUAUUUAUAAUUUACGUAGAAUGGAAAUAGGAAAAGUGAGUUUUUAAGAAAUAGACAUUGAUCAAAAUAUACAUAAAAUGUUGAGUUGUUAGUUUCAGCCCCUUUCUAACCUGCCAUGAGAGUAGAGACUGAGGGAAGCAGGAAGACACCUUGUUAGCCAAUCAAAGCACUAGGACUCUGGGGGCUAGGGGAGGAACCCCCUCACCCACAACCCUUGCCCCGAGUGCCAAAUAGAUCCAGAACCAUUCCAAAACGUUUUUGAGUUCUCUUGUGUGUUGGACAUCCAUUGGACGCACCCAUGAAGCCAGCAUGUUUCCACCAUAACAUGAUGUCAGUCAUGACGCCUCAGCAUCACUCAAAGACACCGAUCAAAAACAACCCCCCUUUCCCCCCCACCAACCCACCCAGAGCUAAACCUGAGCAGGAUUAACCCGUAAGCGGCUGGCUACCUCCCAUAAACUGCUUUUCCUAAUUCUCUGCCAUCUCUUCAACCUCCAGGACAUCAUUGAUUGUGUGCCAUAGUGUUGGGGGGGACAGGCCUGUCACUUCUCCUCACCCCCCAAGUCUCUCUCUCCAUUUGAUUUUCGAUGGGAAAGAUUAAAAAAUCCAUUUCUAAUGACGAUUUUUUUCUUUAACAUUAAAACACACACACACACUCCGUACCGUGGUGUGAGGAGAGUUCUCGUCAGCUGCAGCCAUCCUCUGUCUUCUGAACUUUGAACUUUUCACCCCCUCAUGAACUUGAUUGACCUUCUUCCUCCCCCCUUCUGUGUUCAUCAAACUGUUUGGACUUAAACUAUCCAUCCCAUAUCCAAACCUCUUUGAGACUGUGCAAUGCUAGCUGAAAUGAUUGGAUUUUUUUUGUUUGUUGACCGUCAUUGGGACAAUUCUCAGAGAUUGAAAGAAAAAGAAUGAAAGAACGGAAAAAAAUAUCAUCCCUCCCAAAAAAAAAAAAAAAAAAAAAAGCAGACAAAAGCAUAGUGUGUGUUUGCAGACAAACAAAAAAAAACUAAACAACUUGUUUCUCCACAAUAUCAUUUUUUCUCUCAUUGUAAAUAUCUUUUGUCAGAUUUUGUUGAGCUGUUAUGAAGAGGCGUGUUCAACUGACUGGGACUGGCAGCAUAACCCAACUAGUGGAACAACUAGACGACAGACGCACCUUCAUCCCGACCAUCGCCUAGUUAGUUAGUCAGCCAGCUAGUUUGUUAGAUUAGUAGGUUAGUUCUGCUGCAGUGAUGUCUGUGAUGUUGUUAUUGCUGUUGGCCUGCUGUGUUUGUUGUUUAGCCUUCAUGCUACUUCUGCUUUAGACGCAAGUAUGUGUAAACCUUGUACCAGCUGUCGGAAACGAGGAGUUAUGUUAUCACCCUCGCCAUUCGUAAUGAGUCGUAGUGGCAGCCAUCUUUCUCCAGAGGUAGUCAUGGAGACGCCUGCGAGAGAAUAAACGAUUAGCAGGAACUUGACUCGAAACUAAACCUUGAAUGACUCGCAGGGUGUUCAAAGAAAGAGCUAUUACCGAAAGUAGCUCAAUGUGCAGUACAGUCACUAUGGUUUACACAAUGAUGGAUAGGUCGAAGAAUAGGGAGAUUAAACGUAAUCGUAAAGUUAAAUGGUCAUGGGUGAAUAGGAAUUUGAAGCCAACUUGACUUCAGCACAGUUCGUGCCUAGCUGCGGCAUAGCCUAUAUUUGUCUGUGUGGGUGGUUAGGGUCCGAGGAGGUGGAGAGUGUCGCAAUGCUGCCGUAACUACACUGACCAUAUCAUUGCUUUAUGCUCCACUCUGUUAUGCUGCCGGUCCCAUCUCCAGAUAAAACAUUCAUGAGCUAUUUAUUUCUCCGCCUAUUAUAUACAAUUAAUAAAUGACAACACAACAAGAAAAAGGGAAUGACUGGAAAGGUUGAAUUAUUGUUUUGUUUUUUAGUAUUUUAGUGGUUGCUUUUAACAACAUUCAUUAACUGACUUAAAGAGUAUUGAAUAUUUAAUGUAAUUGUAGCAUUGUGUUUGUAAAGAAAAAAAAACAGUAGUGAGUUGUGUUUAUUGACUUGUGGAUUACCAGUGAAGUCGGCAAUCUAGUGCUAAUAUAUAUGGAGUCGUUUUUUUAAGGAUUCUUAUUUUGCGACAGCAACAACAGUCAUUAUAAAUGUUCAUUUUAGCAUCACCUGUCUUCUGUUGUCUUAUUCCCCACUCACUACAGCCAUCACAGUAACACAUCGCACCAUGUGCUCAAACGUGGGAGGGCCAUACCAUACAUACGAGGGGUGUGUGUGUGUGUGUGUGUGUGUGUGGACCUAAGUGGAACAAUGUGUGUGUAAGGAGUAUGUGUGUGUGUGCGGACCUAAGUGAAAUCGAAUGUGUGUGUAAGGAAGUGCGUGUGUGUGGACGCCAAGGCUACCACCUGAGCCUGCGUGGGAUGGCUGUUCUGUAAACGUUCACCGAAGCAUAACCUGGAGGGCUUCCAUUCAUCAAUGGAACCCCCUGACGUUAUAGCUGCGACCAUCAUGUGACCCAAGUCUACUAUAUCGUUCAUAACCCCCUCCCACCACCCAACACCCAACCAACCACUGUCCCCACCUCCCCCUCCUCCUGCGCCAUCUCCUACCACACACCAGCACCAUGUGACCUGUCCUCCAUCAGUAACAUAACAUACUACUGUUACCCGAUCAGAACCACAUUAACCUGUCUCCAUGUCAACAGAGGAGCCGGUUGCUCGACAACUUGACUCCACCCCCACAUGAUACUCAACCGACAGACCAACCGACCGACCAAUCAUCCUCCUCCCCUGCAGGGCCGCUAACAUGGCUGUUAAUAGAAUGUCUGCAAGGCAACGCCCACUUGACCAUGAAACCUCAGUUCUAGAAUGUAGAGGUAGAGAGGAAGGAAGGGAGACAGACAGACAGGAAGUUCAGAGUGACUACCUGAGCAUACUUAGGUAAUCUAACACCCUGUAGUCUCUCACAUAUUAUGUUGCCCAUUGCAUUCCAAGACAACCCAAAGACGAUUGACAUGUCUCUAUUUAUACGAUCGCUUGGAAACUUUUCUCAAUCAAAUUGAUUUCUUGCUUGAUUGAUCUAGUGAUUUGACCAACUAUCCAAGAGGGAUGAUAGGAACCCUGGAGAAAGAGCUAGCCGAUGACGUAAUGUUUACAACCUCAAUGAGACCAACGCUGUUAAAAGAAUGUGUAGGACUUCAAACCAAUUCUCUGAAAGAGUACGUAUUGCUAAAAUGCUGCAAUUUCGAUGACGAUUUCUAUGUGACCUGAGGUAAUGUGAUUAUGAAUCAUUGCAUGUUAUUAUGUUUUUGCAAUGAAAUACAUUUUUGGAACUGUUAGAAUGAAUGGUACUUUGUGACGCUAGUGUCAACGUCUACGUUAGUGAUGUCACCAUGCGGAGGGGUUAUGGACCAAUGAAUGCUAAAAUGUGUGACCACAACGUUGUAAAGAUUCUCUUCAUUUGUACAUGGGUAUUAUGGGUAAAUAAACCAUUGAAGCAAAGCAUCAGCUAGAUAUUGUAAGUCUUAAAGAUAAAAGUCCACACAUACAGUAAAUGUACUAAGGCAGAGCCCAAAGACAGUGCUUUGACAAUUAUUUAUUAGAAGACAUUGAUUGCAGUCUUGACUGUAGGCAAAUACAAUAAGAGGUAAGUUUCCAUGUUCCCUGUUGAAUUUAAAUGAGGUUUAGACUAAUAUGGAGGCUUGGUAAUGCCAGUAUGGAUGAAAAUGUUUUUGAGACCAUGCUUUCAAUGCAACGAGAGUUAGGGCAGUAAUAAUCGGUGUUUAUCCAAGGUUUAAAGACAAUCAUAAAGAUUGGGUCUGCCCUUCACACACUUCAUCUCUGCAAGCAUCACAAAUGUCAAAAUUCAACAAACGCAAAGGUUUCUGAACAUUCUCAUCCACCUACAAUUCCCCUGUGCACCAGCUCAUCCAAUCAGCAAACACCCACACCCCUGCAUCCACCAUGUGUCAACAGCCAGCCAAUCAGCACCUGCAACCUACUCCGCUGGCCAAUGGCUGGGCCAGCUCCAUGUCAGCUGUGGGCUUAUUGACCGAUAGUGGAGUCCCCUGAGUACCCAGCAAUCACAGCAUGGUCUGACAACCCUGUCCCAGUCUCACCAACCCCUCCAUACUCUAAAGAAGUUCCUCCAAAUAAGAGUGAAGCAGAGGCUGGUUGAUGAUGUUUGUCCACUCAUGAUGAUGUGCUGUUGAUGCACAUCCAACUCACGUUAGACCGUGUGUGUAUUUUAUAAGGCAGCUAAUAAAACGUCCUCAUUUGCCAAUGUGAGAGGAAAUGUGUGCACAGCCCCUGAGCUUCAACUGCAUGGAUCAAUACCAGAACUGUUUUGUGCCUUUGGUUAGAGUCUCCAGAUGAUGCUAGCGAUGGCCGACUAGGUCUCUAAGGUAGAUGCUGUGUUGUUUUAUUGAACAGCUGUGAGCUGUAAGCAGGUAAGUUUAUCUGUAAGAACAUCCCAUCUCCCUCAAGAGUGUAUUUUUGCACUGUGUACAGACGAUGCGUUCAUAACCCUCCCCAUGCGAAGAAAGGUGCAUGCAGAAUGCGUGCUAUACAAGAGUAUGCAAAUCCAGCACUUCCUAAGGGGUUAUACCUCAGUGGGCUUCACCUGGAUUCAUAUAAUAGCAGGAAUAAAGGAUGGGAUGCUUACAGAGAUCUGUAGGGAGAUCUGGGGACAGAUAGAGCAUGCUGGUCUUGACGGUUUCCAUGUAAAUUGUCGAGCAUCUGGUGAACCUGCUACUAUGACAAAUUAGCGCCCCGCUAUAUAGCCUGGCCAUUGCCCCCUCCUCCUCUUCCUCCUCUUCUCUAUACUCCUCUCUCCUCCCAGCAGGCCAGCGUACAAGGCUAGACAGCAGGGUCGCUGCAAUGAGGCUCCAUCUCUGCCUGGCCGGCUGCUCCAGCUAACAGCGCACCCCCCCCCCCCCCUCCUGGAGGCUACUUAUUGAUUUCCCUUCUUCCUCUUUCCCCCAGUCCUCGCUUGCUCAUUCAUCAUCCCUGAAAAGAAACCAAAAAAAGGAAGAAUGAUAAACGGCUAAACCUAAUCCCAGAGUGGUUGUUCUCUGGAACACAUUGGGUCUGUAGGAGAGCAGGAUGGGGAUGAAUGUCUGUACAGGUGCAGGUGAUCAGAGGAACCAUAUGUCUCAUAUUAUAAAUGCAGAAGACCCAGGUUCGAUUCCCCACUUACGUGCUAUGCACUUUGACCUUUGAUAGCAAAGUUAGAACUAAGAUGUUUUAUACCGAUCUCCUUUUCAGAGAGUACAUUGCCCAAAGGGUUGGGAUAAAGUACCAGAUUAAAUGUCAAGUCAAACAAUACAGUCUGUUAAAUGACAAUAAAUCAUAGUCUUUCGAUUGGUGCAAUCUAGAUUGUAAAAUAAAUCUCGUCUGUUGACAAAAACACAUCCCCAAGAGUAGCAGAACUUGAACUGAAAUCUAGUCUGUUUCCAUUCUUGAGGGACUUCCUGUCUGAGGAUCCACCACGCCAACAUGCCAGCCCAGCAUCAUUUAGCCUAGCCUAGCCCAGCCCAGCCCAGCCCAGCCCAGCCCAGUCCAGCCCAGUCCAGCCCAGCCCAGCCCAGCCCAGCCCAGUCCAGCCCACCAUAGCCCAGCCCCACCCAGUCCAUUGUGAUUUCACCUCCCUGCCAGGGGGUGUACCAGAGCAAACAACAUAUGUUUUGCAUUUGGGAAACACACAAGCGCUUAAUCCCUGGCAAAUCACAGCAAGUGGCGCGGCCUGAUAGAAUUCCUGGGAACAUAUUUCAGGUCUGUAGCUGUGGCAGAUCAACUAUUUGAGGCAGCGUUGAUUCAGAAGAUGAAAAUAUCAGUGUGCAUGUCAUAUCUUCCACGACAGAGUAAAAGCAUAGUGUGUGUGCAUAAAAACUCGGAGAGGGUGAGGAGAUUUUUGCACAGAACUUGUUAGACGAUCCUGAAUAUAAGAAAUUGUGUGACAGAAAUACGUUGAAUGUUUGUUCUAUUCUAAGGUGACCAAGAAAUGUGUACUGUAUGGUACGUGAACAUUCCAUCAACUUGAAAUUGAGGAAAAUCUGUUCGAUUUUGAUCUACAUUGGGCUGUAUUGCACCUCUGAACAAUAUGACACUCAUUCUGUCCAAAUGACUAAAGAUAAGUCUUUUUGAUUGAAAUUUUGUAGAAAAAAAAUAAAACGUUAAAAAUCCCAAAUCUAGAUUUUAAUCAUGGCUCAUAAAGAUGUUUUUUUUUUAUCUGCUCAAAUUUGAAAAUUGGAGUGUAUAUUUUUGGACGAACAUAAUGCUAUUUGUAUUCAGACUUUUUCCAGGCCUCAGGUCUAUAGCAUUUUGGCUGUACUUUCCUUCCUGAAUGUUCUACCAACUCACUGCAUGUUUGUCUAGAUGGAACCUUCCUGUCCUCUUUGAGCUUCCUGCUUCCUGUCAAGGAACUUAUAAAGAAGGAGGCUUCAGAGAUUACACACACAAGCAGCUCCUGAGAGCACCUCAGACCCUUCUUUAUAACUUCCUUGCUUUCUGUCUGAAUGAGGUUCAGUUACCUCGGUUACAUCAGCACCUACACACCACGGAAACCUUGUCAUCAAACACAUGAAAAAAAAAGUCCCACUCCCAACCAAAUUACAAUUAGUCAUUAAAUAUCUACUUCGAGAUUAUUCUCGGAUAUUUGCGAAGGAAAUUUACUCAACGAGAUAGAUUACUUGCCAAAUUAGUUAUUGUUAUCAGGAGCAAUCUUAUUUGAUUGACAAUUUCAUGACAAUUUCAAGCAUUGAUAUGUAUUUAUUCAAAUAAUUUAUUUAGAUUUAUGUUUCUUUGAUUGAAACAGUUUUUUUCCUCUAAUUUACAGAAUACCAGUCAGAUAAGCAAAAUAAUGAACAAUGAUUGUAAUUUUGUAUGUUUUCUUUGGUCAUAUAUUUUACUGUUGUAAUAUUUCUAACCAACAUUGCAGAUGAAGCAUCCAUUUGUUUAAAAAAUAUGAAGGAAAAAAAACAAACAUUUCAUUCGUAACUAUUCCCCAAAAAAGGUAUUUUAAAAUGUAUUGAAUGUUUGAUUAUUAUGUGUAUAAAUAUACUGAGAAUAAAUAUGUUUAAAUUGCGAUGCAAAAGCUGUGAUUUUAAAACACUGUAGCGUGUACAGUGAUUUCUUUAUCAAUUUUAUGGUACAUGAUAUGUUCUGCAAUCUUGCAGUCGUUGUUUGUUUGAUUUCUGUUCUUGGGCCUAUGCUUUAAUAAAUGCAUUUUCUACUGUA